UACGUAGGGGGCGAGCGUUGUCCGGAUUUAUUGGGCGUAAAGAGCUCGUAGGCGGUUCGGUAAGUUCGGGUGUGAAAACUUUGGGCUUAACCCAAAGACUGCACUCGAUACUGCUGUGACUUGAGUCCGGGAGAAGGUGAGGUGGAGCUGGCGAGUGUAGAGGUGAAAUUCGUAGAUAUUACGCAAGAACACCAGUGGCGAAGGCGGCUCACUGGCCCGGUACUGACCGGCUGAGGCACGAAAGCGUGGGGAGCAAACAGG
rnacentral:rRNA from 1 species